rnacentral:rRNA from 1 species
UGCCAGCAGCCGCGGUAAUACGGAGGGUCCAAGCGUUAUCCGGAUUUAUUGGGCUUAAAGGGUGCGCAGGCGGAAAAUUAAGUCAGUGGUGAAAUCCUGCAGCUUAACUGUAGAACUGCCAUUGAUACUGAUUUUCUUGAAUUCAUAUGAGGUAGGCGGAAUGUGUAAUGUAGCGGUGAAAUGCUUAGAUAUUACACAGAACACCGAUUGCGAAGGCAGCUUACUAAAUUGACAUUGACGCUGAGGCACGAAAGCGUGGGGAGCGAACAGGAUUAGAUA